UACGAAGGUCCCAAGCGUUGUUCGGAAUCACUGGGCGUAAAGGGAGCGUAGGCGGCGUGGUAAGUCAGAUGUGAAAUCCCGGGCUCAACCCCGGAACUGCAUCCGAUACUGCCAUGCUAGAGGAUUGGAGAGGUAGCUGGAAUUCUUGGUGUAGCAGUGAAAUGCGUAGAGAUCAAGAGGAACACUCGUGGCGAAAGCGAGCUACUGGACAAUUCCUGACGCUGAGGCGCGAAAGCGUGGGGAGCAAAGCAGG
rnacentral:rRNA from 1 species